UUUGCAUUUUCUUUCGUUAUCUUUCUUUUUCUUUCCUUUCUUUCUUCUUCUUCUUUUUUUUCUUUUACUUGAAUC
rnacentral:ribozyme from 1 species